UACGGGGGUGCGAGCGUUGUCCGGAAUCACUGGGCGUAAAGGGCGCGUAGGCGGUUUGACAAGUCUGAUGUGAAAAUCUAUGGGCCUCAACCCAUAGCCUGCAUUAGAAACUGUCGGGCUUGAGUAUGGGAGAGGUGAGUGGAAUUUCCGGUGUAGCGGUGAAAUGCGUAGAUAUCGGAAGGAACACCUGUGGCGAAAGCGGCUCACUGGACCAUAACUGACGCUGAGGCGCGAAAGC
rnacentral:rRNA from 1 species